GCUGACAAUAAUAGCAACCUGGAACCACCUGAUCCCAUUCCGAACUCAGAAGUGAAACGGGUUAACGCUGAUGAUAGUCUAGCAUUCGCUAGGUGAAAGUAAGUAAUUGUCAGCA
rfam:Francisella sp. CA97-1460, complete genome.